rnacentral:rRNA from 1 species
CGGGGGGGGCAAGCGUUGUUCGGAAUUACUGGGCGUAAAGGGCUCGUAGGUGGCCAACUAAGUCAUACGUGAAAUCCCUCAGCUUAACUGGGGAACUGCGUCUGAUACUGGAUGGCUUGAGUUUGGGAGAGGGAUGCGGAAUUCCAGGUGUAGCGGUGAAAUGCGUAGAUAUCUGGAGGAACACCGGUGGCGAAGGCGGCAUCCUGGACCAAUACUGACACUGAGGAGCGAAAGCCAGGGGAGCAAACGGGAUUAGAUACCCCGGUAGUCCUGGCCCUAAACGAUGAAUGCUUGGUGUGGCGGGUAUCGAUCCCUGCCGUGCCGAAGCUAACGCAUUAAGCAUUCCGCCUGGGGGAGUACGGUCGCAAGGACUG